UCGAAGUCUGAUGGGUGAUUUUAUUG
rnacentral:piRNA from 1 species